UACGUAGGUGGCAAGCGUUGUCCGGAAUUAUUGGGCGUAAAGCGCGUGUAGGUGGCCAUGUAGGUCCGCUGUGAAAACUCGAGGCUCAACCUCGAGCUGUCGGUGGAAACCACAUGGCUAGAGUCCGGAAGAGGAGAGUGGAAUUCCUGGUGUAGCGGUGAAAUGCGCAGAUAUCAGGAAGAACACCAAUGGCGAAGGCAGCUCUCUGGGACGGUACUGACACUGAGACGCGAAAGCGUGGGGAGCGAACAGG
rnacentral:rRNA from 1 species